AAAAUAGGUUUUUUAACACAUUGUUUUGUAUAGAUGUGGUGUGUAAUUUACUCACAGUAAAACCACUAACUGGAGAAGGACGAAGCAUUAGACGCGAAGUAAUCGUUACAAACGAAAGGUAUGAUCGAAAAGUUAUGACUUUAUGGGUAGACUUUGUUGAAAUUGAAGGUCAAAUGUUACAAAGCCUUGAAAGUCACAAACCAGUUCUUGCCUUUUGUGAUGUAAAAUCAUUAAUUUAUCAAGGAAUGACAACAUGAAGGCAGAAAAGAUUGACGUAAGUCUAAUGCGAAGCAGACUAAUGCAAACUGCCCGUCAAGUGAAAAUUAGUAAUAUUUUAAAUGGUUCACUUGCCAUUGUGAAGAUAUCGGUUAAAGAUUGAUGUCACUGCUGAGGAUCAAUUUCUAAGCAUUACAAUGUUUGAUGCUGCAAAAUACUAUUUUGGUUGUAACGUAAAAGAGUAUGUUCUCUCUACAUCUGAAAAGAAAGAACAAUCACCAUACUAUCACAAGAUGGUAUUGAGUAAAGGGAAAGAAUUCAGUAUCCUUGUUAAGAUUGAUCGUAAAUUCCCAGAUGUUGACACAAACAUGAAUGUGAUAGCUAUGGAGAUACAUGAGGUUUCAAAAAAAUUACCUCCAGAUCAAACCAAGGUUAAAAUGCCAAUUACAAAACAAAGAAGCAAGAGGACAAAGAUACUAAGUGAUGAUGAAAAAAUGAAAGAAAUAGUUGCAGGCAUGCCUAAUGUUGAAAAAUAUAUUGCAGCAGUUCAAACUGACAUUGAAAAUCCAAAAAAAAAAAUACAUGCAAGAGGACUAACAACAUUAAACAAGUCAUUGCAGAUGAUAAUCCACAGAAAUUGAUGAUACAUGAGGUAGAAAAACAUAAUUACUAGAUAAAAGGGACGACGAAGCCCCACUAAUUCAACUACAAAGAAAAAGGACCCGGAAGGUUAAAGGAAAAAACAUCAUGCCCUAUCCGAUGGAAAAGAAGAUCAAAGAGGAAAAAAAAUAAUAUAUAGUUGAUCUAAAAUUUCCUUAUUUUUAUCUACCAAUGCUUAUUAUCUCCCUAAUAUUUAAAAACAACUUACCUUUUUUCACCAAGCAACUUCACCUAACAUCACUUUUAUUUUUAACUUACUUUCCUAUAUCAAUGAAUUUUGUUAACUGUUUCACUAAACAUUCUAUGUAUGCAAUUUAUUACUUCAAAACAGAUCAACAACAAUCUUCUGCUGCAAUGUAUAUCCCCUUACAUAAAAAAGAUCACUGCUAAAUUACAUAUGCUAAAUAGGAAGAGAGAAGAGAAGUGUCACACCAACAAUCCAAAUUUUAUCACCAUCAAAUCAACAAUGACACACAACCAACAUCAAGGUGAUACAAAUAUAAACACUCCUUUCAUGCCAAAUCAAGCAGGUGAUAAAGAAAAAAACAUUCCUUCUACCAGUAAAACUGAUUAGCAUGACAACCAUACAAAAAAAAAUCCACCA